GAAAUGCGAUAAGUAAUGUGAAUUGCAGAAUUCAGUGAAUCAUCGAAUCUUUGAACGCACAUUGCGCUCCUUGGUAUUCCUUGGAGCAUGCCUGUUUGAGUAUCAUGAAAUCUUCAAAGUAAAUCUUUUGUUAACUCAAUUGGUUUCUACUUUGGUAUUGGAGGUCUUUGCAGCUUCACACCUGCUCCUCUUUGUUCAUUAGCUGGAUCUCAGUGUUAUGCUUGGUUCCACUCGGCGUGAUAAGUUAUCUAUCGCUGAGGACACUGUAAAAGGUGGCCAAGGUAAAUGCAGAUGAACCGCUUCUAAUAGUCCAUUGACUUGGACAAUACUUUUAUGAUCUGAUCUCAAAUCAGGUAGGACUACCCGCUGAACUUAAGC
rnacentral:misc_RNA from 1 species